UGAAGAUGGAACUGACAAUUCGAAUAAGGAGCUACCUUAGUGACAUGCCUGUCAUAGGACAACACACGCUAAAUAAUCUAUGCAGGAUUUGACACAAAUAUUACACAAGCGUAUUUAUUUCUUUAUUGCGUAAUGUAUCAUUUAGUUCCGCCUCGGGUCACGUGUUUCCGGUGGUGCUGAACCCUGCCAACGGAACAAGAUGUCGGCGCGGCUUCGUCCUCCCUCACCUCUCCGUUGUAAUCCGGCCUCAUUUGUCAUACAGGUCGUGUGUAUGUAGAAGCGACAUGUGGCUGGUGCGGAGGGGGACCGCCACCAGGAGCCGAGAACUGCCUUUCUGUGCUUAUUAAUGAAAAUGAUGCUCUUCUUACAAGUGGUGGCUCUGUCAGAUGUUGCAGGAUGUACCAAGACAAAAGAGAUGUUGCACAGACUAGUGGCUCAUUUGCUCUCUUAAUAAGGAGUAAUAAAAUAAGCAUUAGGAAAGGUGGUCAAUGUGAGAAUUGGAAAGACUGGGCGUGA
ensembl:lncRNA